AUGGCUUUUGCUUCACCAGUUUUCCAAAUCGCUCUCAAUAAUCCACACCUCUCGUUCACCACCGCGUAUCUACACUCUCCGCCGCACCUCUCAAAUCCACGCUGUCCCUCCGAUCCGCAUAGUUAUGUCUCGCGUUCUCCGAUUUCGUGCAACAAAGAUCGAGAGAAGAAUGAAGAUGAAGACUUGAAAGAUGCGAGGAGAAAAAUAUCUCAUCUGUUUGAAAAAAAUUGA